rnacentral:miRNA from 1 species
GCUCUAGUGUUACAUCACAAUGCUCCAAUGUGACAGCAACAUGCAUGUUGUGUGAUCACAAUGCUGAAAUGUGAAAUGUUGAUGUUCACUAUGCCAUCACAAUG